UGGCUCAGGAUGAACGCUGGCGGCGUGCCUAAUACAUGCAAGUCGAGCGAACAGACGAGGAGCUUGCUCCUCUGACGUUAGCGGCGGACGGGUGAGUAACACGUGGAUAACCUACCUAUAAGACUGGGAUAACUUCGGGAAACCGGAGCUAAUACCGGAUAAUAUAUUGAACCGCAUGGUUCAAUAGUGAAAGACGGUUUUGCUGUCACUUAUAGAUGGAUCCGCGCCGCAUUAGCUAGUUGGUAAGGUAACGGCUUACCAAGGCAACGAUGCGUAGCCGACCUGAGAGGGUGAUCGGCCACACUGGAACUGAGACACGGUCCAGACUCCUACGGGAGGCAGCAGUAGGGAAUCUUCCGCAAUGGGCGAAAGCUUGACGGAGCAACGCCGCGUGAGUGAUGAAGGUCUUCGGAUCGUAAAACUCUGUUAUUAGGGAAGAACAAAUGUGUAAGUAACUAUGCACGUCUUGACGGUACCUAAUCAGAAAGCCACGGCUAACUACGUG
rnacentral:rRNA from 1 species